AUUGAACGCUGGCGGCAUGCCUAACACAUGCAAGUCGAAACGGAGGUAGGGGCAACUCUACUUCAGUGGCGGACGGGUGAGGAAUGCGUCGGAAUCUACCCUAUGGUGGGGGAUAACACAGGGAAACUUGUGCUAAAUACCGCAUAAUGUCGAGAGACCAAAAGCAGGGGACCGCAAGGCCUUGCGCGAUAGGAUGAGCCGACGCCCCGAUUAGCUAGUUGGUAGGGUAAAGGCCUACCAAGGCGACGAUCGGUAGCUGGUCUGAGAGGAUGAUCAGCCACACUGGGACUGAGACACGGCCCAGACUCCUACGGGAGGCAGCAGUGGGGAAUAUUGGACAAUGGGCGCAAGCCUGAUCCAGCAAUGCCGCGUGUGUGAAGAAGGCCUGCGGGUUGUAAAGCACUUUUGUUCGGGAAGUAAAUCAUGCUGGUUAAUACCUGGUAUGGAUGACGGUACCGAAAGAAUAAGCACGGCUAACUCGUGCCAGC
rnacentral:rRNA from 1 species